GCCAAUAAUCUAGCCCCCCCCCCAAUCGAAUAAACAAUAGAACUUGUACCACAAACUAAAACAUUCUGAUACUUCAGUAAAGGCGAUUGAAAAAUUUUUAGGAGCUAUAUAAGUAGUACCGCAAGGGAAAGAUGAAAUAAAAAUGAAAUAAAUAUUAAGCACAAGAAAGUAGAGAUUUACCCUCGUACCUUUUGCAUCAUGGUUUAACUAGUCAAAUUAAGCAAAAUGAUUUACAGUUUAACUUCCCGAAACUAAGCGAGCUACUUUAAGGCAGCUUACUGAGCAAACCCGUCUCUGUUGCAAAAGAGUGGGAAGACCUUUAAGUAGUGGUGACAGACCUAACGAGCUUAGUGAUAGCUGGUUACUUAAGAAUAGGAUUUAAGUCCAACCUAAAGUCUUAUAAAUAACUUUUAAUUCAUAAAUAAAAAUUUUACUUUAGGGGCAUUCAAGUAAGGUACAGCCUACUUGAAACAGGAUACAACCUCCAAAGAAGGGUAAUUUAUUUUAAAAUAAUUAAGCAGGCUUAAAAGCAGCCACCUUUAAGAUAGCGUCAAAGCUCCGUUAUUUAUUUCCCCUAAUUUCCCCAAUUACCUAGAACCCUCUAUUAGUAUUAAGUACUUCUAUAAUUUUAUAGAACAUUUUAUGUUAAAACUAGUAACAAGAAAAAGAAUUUCACUUUAAUGCAAGUGUAGAUCAGAUAGGACACACCACUGACCAUUAACAUACCUUCAGAAAAAUUAGCAACUUUACAAGAAAAACUUAAUUUCCAUUAUGUUAACCUAACACCAGAGCAUUACAAGUAAGAUUAAAAGAAAAAGAAGGAACUCGGCAAGUAUUAACCCCGCCUGUUUACCAAAAACAUCGCCUCUUGAUCAAUUAUAAGAGGUCCAGCCUGCCCAGUGACUUUGUUCAACGGCCGCGGUAUCCUAACCGCGCGAAGGUAGCGUAAUCACUUGUUCUUUAAAUCAGGACUAGUAUGAACGGCAUCACGAGGGUUUCACUGUCUCCUUUUUCUAAUCAGUGAAUCUAAUCUCCCCGUGAAGAAGCGGGGAUAAACUUAUAAGACGAGAAGACCCUAUGGAGCUUUAAACUAAAUGACAUUUGCUUUAACUCCCAAUACUUCAGAGUAAUCAACACUCACUAUAGCCUUUUGAUCAUUAGUUUUAGGUUGGGGUGACCACGGAGAAAAAAAUAACCUCCACAUUGAACGGGGUUUAGACCCCCUGAGCCACGAGCAACAACUCUACGCACCAAUAAAUUGACAUUAAUUGACCCAAUAUAUUGAUCAACGAACCAAGUUACCCUAGGGAUAACAGCGCAAUCCGCUUUAAGAGCUCCUAUCGACAAGCGGGUUUACGACCUCGAUGUUGGAUCAGGGUAUCCUAGUGGUGCAGCCGCUACUAAUGGUUCGUUUGUUCAACGAUUAAAACCCU
rnacentral:rRNA from 1 species